GGUGAACGCUGGCGGCGUGCCUAACACAUGCAAGUCGAGCGGUGCAGUUUGAAGCUUCGGUGGAAAGCUGCAUAGCGGCGGACGGGUGAGGAAAACGUAGGAACGUGCCCCUUGGAGUUGGAUAGCCACGGGAAACUGUGGGUAAACCGACAUAGACUCGAGAGAGUAAAGGCCGAAAGGCGCCAAGGGAGCGGCCUGCGGCCCAUCAGGUAGUUGGUAGUGUAAAGGACUACCAAGCCGACGACGGGUAGCCGGUCUGAGAGGAUGGCCGGCCACAAGGGCACUGAGAGACGGGCCCUACUCCUACGGGAGGCAGCAGUGGGGAUAUUGCACAAUGGGGGAAACCCUGAUGCAGCGACGCCGCGUGGAGGAAGAAGGUUUUCGGAUUGUAAACUCCUGUCGUUAGGGACGAUAAUGACGGUACCUAACAAGAAAGCACCGGCUAAACUACGUGCCAGCAGCCGCGGUAAGGCUACGAGA
rnacentral:rRNA from 1 species